AUCAGCGAACUUUUAUUUCAGGUUCUUUUGAGUUUCGAUUAUUUUAAAAGUUAUCAUCAUGAAUUGGCAAGACAACCUGCAAUCUUAUCAGUUUAAUUCUAAUUGUCAAUCAGUUGUCAACAGAUACCAGUUUUACUAUGCCUCAGUUGCACGUUGGCAUUCGUGGGUUAAAAUGCACUCGCAAUCUUACUGGACUGUGGCGACAAAUGCCGAUAUAAACACCAAUUAUUUUCAAGAUAAUGUUUCAAACGAGGGAAGUUAUGAUGUAUCUUUAAACGAAGAGACCGAAUUGUUUCUGAACUCAGGGGCAAUGGAAGCACUUAGUUUGUUUCGAAAUCAGAGUAGACAACAUGAUAAUGCAGGAAAAAACAGUGAAUCUGAAAUUACAUUGGUUGAUGUCAGGUAUGCUGAAGACCAUGUGAGCAAAGCAAGCGAGGCUCCACCGUCAGAAAAGACAGCAGAGUAUAAACUUCGCCAAGCAAAAGCGAAGCAGAAGUACGGAGAAGAAAGAAGCCUGAAGAUAAUAGCAAGUGAAAAUGAGAUUGACCACUCUUUUCACUCUUUUGUUGCCACACAUAAACCCCUUUUGUGGCCUGUUAUUCCCUUCAACUUGUGAAAUAAGCUUUUUUUAUAUCA